rnacentral:piRNA from 1 species
UAAACAUUUCAGUAACUCGCAGCUACC